CUCCUGAAAAGAGAGCUGUUUAGAGAGGCAGUUUUGAAUUUAGGAGCGGCAAGAUGGCAGCGGCAAACCCUGGCGGUUCUCCGGGUUCGUGGCAACCACGGAUGGGGAAAAUGUGGAGGUUGCACGGCUGAUGUUUACUGUUCAUGGCACAGGAAGAGGCAGUUUUAUUUCAGGAAUGAGUGAGCACAAUCAAAGAAUAGAGCGACUGUGGAGAGACCUCUGGGUGGCCAUUACAUGCUUUACUACGAUGUUCUUCACAACCUUGAGGAAGAAGACCUUCUUGACAUUUCAAAUGCUGCACACCUCUUUUGCUGCCAUUACGUCUUUCUUCCUCGACUGGAGGAUGAUUUUAAUACAUUUUGCAGUGGAUGGGACAACCAUCCACUGCGAAC